rnacentral:rRNA from 1 species
UACGUAGGGGGCAAGCGUUGUCCGGAAUCAUUGGGCGUAAAGAGCGUGUAGGCGGCCAGAUAAGUCCGCUGUGAAAUCUCGAGGCUCAACCUCGAGAUGUCGGCGGAAACCAUCUGGCUAGAGUCCGGAAGAGGAGAAUGGAAUUCCCGGUGUAGCGGUGAAAUGCGCAGAUAUCGGGAAGAACACCCGUGGCGAAGGCGGUUCUCUGGGACGGUACUGACGCUGAGACGCGAAAGCGUGGGGAGCGAACAGG